rnacentral:lncRNA from 1 species
AGAGAGAGAGAGAGAGAGGAGGGAUUUGGUUGGCUUGAUACACGCCUGAAGCCACUCUAAUCUUUCAUCCCUUCUCUUGUUUGGUUUUGGUCUUGGUUUUCCUUCCCUCACAUUACUCCUGAUCCAGCUGGGCCAUCAGGAAGAAAGGGGGAGUGGAAAUGGACUUCCUGGAGGGUGGAGAUUCUUUUAAUUUUCUCCUCUCAGUUUCUUCUCCCCUCCUGGGUGGUAGAGAGAGAAGGAGGGAGGGGGUUGAAUGGCUGCCGUGUUGUGAUGUUGCGGUUGUUGCUUGGGUACUCACUUGAAGGGGAGAUGGUGGGAUGGGGACUUUUAUUAAUUAGAUGGAGUCAAUUUUCCAUAAUGCCCCUACUUUCUCUUAUAGAGAGGCUCAUUCUUUACCUUGACCAUGAAGUGCCAUGGGAUGGCCUUUUCCUAUUCAGCUCUUGCUUGACAUGAUAAACAAUAUUGCCAAGCAUUAUCUCAGUUAUUUAAUCAGUUUCAUGGCCUUAUUUUAGGAUAAUUAUUUUUCUGCACUUCCAUUCAAAAAUAAUAUUAAAUUAAAAAAAUUUCUUGCCUAUCUUUAUUAGAUUCAUGUAUCUUUAUUGAAAUAGUGUA